GAAAUCAGAAAUCUCUUAUACAUUCUCUGAGUGUGUGGAGAGUUCUCGAUGUUAAGAUGUUGGCAAUGAGUUACUUCCCUGGGACUGAGAGAAUCUGGGAGAGUCUCUGCCCAUCACUGUCAUUCCUUGGUGUUGGAGCAGAGAUUCCCCUGCAGCCCUGGUGCAGCCCAUGGUGAGGCAGCUGUGCCCUGUGGCCCAUGGAGGUCCAUGGGGGAGCAGAGAUCCACCUGCAGCUCGUGGAAGAUGCAAUACCAGAGCACGUGGAUUCCUGAAGGAGGCUGUGACCUAAAAAAUGUGGGUGUUAAAGUGGUAGGUGCUGCUGCCUAUCCCCAGCAAGCCUCUCCUGUCGAAAAGCAGGCUGAAAUAACAUUCAGGCAAUGCAGUCCACCCUCCCCUUAACACUCACCGCAGCUGGCUCACCGACAGAGGCAAGAAAGGCUCUUUUGCAAGGUUUUAUUCCAGCAGAGCAACACCUUCUCUGAAGGACAAACCCCGGGGAAACAGGAUGAACCACCUGGAGCCGACAGCUUAUAGAGGGGAAGGGGCGGGGGACAGAGCUAAGGGGUGGGCAGAGGGGCCUGGCCACCGAGGGUAGUGGGGUGGCCACCAGGGAUACCAAGCCAGUGACCAAGGAAGGAGGAACCAGAGGGAGUUGUGACGCCAAGUGUGUGGGGAAGAUUGUUUAUCCCUUUGGGAGGGAUGACUCUAUGCUGGAGUUAAAAUAUUCAGUGAGGCAGAGACAGUACACCUGACAAUAAAGAGCAGGAGAGCUCCACAGAGGAGGCAGAUACUGCAGGAAGCCUGUGAGCAUUAGGUGCAAAUCUGGAGCAGCCUGGAGGUUUGAGCAAUUAGUGAAAGAUUUUAAAGAAGAACAGACUUGGGUCUGGCUGGGACCUAGGAACAACUCUUUAGGAGUCAGAGGACAGCCCCAGAGGUGAGAAGGAAUUGGUGAAGCAGCAACCAAUAGUGAAGGACCACUGGAAAGAUGAAAGUGAGAAGUGAGACAUCAAGCCAGAGGGGAUGUCAAGAAAAAGAAGUCAAUGGCAGGUAGAUGCCAGCUGUGAAAAAACCAGGCAACUUCUUCCAGGAAUCAGCACAAGUCCAGUGAAAUGUGGUGAUUUGUCUUUGGCAGUCUUUGGGUAAAAUGAAAUUAUCUUCAAUAAAGCUUUGUAACUGUUAUUACCUCAAAAUUCAGGGAAUAUAGGCAACAUUCUAGUCCAGAAUGCUGAAGACAUGCUUCGUAACUAGAUUAGAUUCCCUAUGCUGAUGCCACUUCCAAAAAUGACCAAAAGACAGAGGAGGAGUGUUUGGCUGAAAAAGUGCCUUUCUGAAUGUCACUUGCAUACCUGUUUGGUAAAUUAAAAUCAGAGUGCACAUUACAUACAAGCAAUUUCAUAAUACCUCUUGUACUCUUACAAGUAUUGCUAUUAAUUCUUUUUUUUUUUGGCAGAAGAAAUAUUCCAUCAUACAGUUUCAUGAUCUUCCUGUCUUCUCCACUGUUCUCCACUUCUCCACUGUGGCUGCAGAAAAUUCUACUGCUAAACUAGUUCAGAUCUAUUUAAAAAGAGAGACUGUGUGCAGAUGGUGGGUCAGUAGGGAUGUUUGUGCUGCACAGCACUGAAAUCCAUUUUGUUCCAUCCAACCAAAUGUAAUUAUGAGUUGGAUUUUUUUGUUUGUUGGUGGGUGUUUUCUUUCCCCCAGGUGUGGCUUACAAGAGAUGAAUAACAGAGGUGUCAGAGAAGCAGUAGGUUUCUUUACUUAUAAUAAGAUUUUGCCUUUUACCCCUUGCAGUGACAUUUCAUUACUUUUUUGUGUCUGAGAACCUUCUUAAAGUCAAAAUACUCAGGAGGAAAGCAUAUAAUAAAUUCUUUUGACUUUCACAUGAAAUAAUUCUGCCAAAUUCUGUUUCUCAAGGUUAUAGAGGAAAGGUGAAAACACAGAUAUUAAAAUAUGAUUUUGCAUAAAUAUUAUUUUUAUCAAAUUAUGUUUUCAGUAUUAUCUUAUUCUGAACUCUGAGGUUCAUAGUGAGAUUCAAACUUCAACCAAGCCAUUUUUAUGCUACAGUUUUGCAUCAUUAAGUGAUGCAAAUUUCAAAAAUACCACCAAGUUCAUUUUCUCAGCACAUUUAUCUGCUAGUUCCUGAAAUUGUCCAAAGUACUUUCAGAGCAUGCACAGAAACAUUUCUGUAGAGGGCUGCAAGAGUUCUGUCCUCUAAGUUGCUUUUCCAGAAUCAAAGACUAAUUAGGUAAGGGGCAAAUGGUACUCUAGGAUAGAAAACACAAAUAUAAUAAGGUCAGUGUAUAGUGUCAGAUGUUAUUAGUAUUUUCUCUAUAUAAAAUAUCACCUUUAGGAUUUUAAAGCAACAGUUUAUCCCCAAACUUCUAAAAUGUGAUUUUUCU